rnacentral:rRNA from 1 species
GGACGAACGCUGGCGGCGUGCUUAACACAUGCAAGUCGAGCGGUAAGGCCCUUUCGGGGGUACACGAGCGGCGAACGGGUGAGUAACACGUGGGUGACCUGCCCUCAGCUCUGGGAUAAGCCUGGGAAACCGGGUCUAAUACUGGAUAUGACUCCAUGACGCAUGUUGUGGGGUGGAAAGCCUUGUGCGGCUGAGGAUGGGCCCGCGGCCUAUCAGCUUGUUGGUGGGGUGANGGCCUACCAAGGCGACGACGGGUANCCGGCCUGAGAGGGCGACCGGCCACACUGGGACUGAGACACGGCCCA